rnacentral:rRNA from 1 species
AUUGAACGCUGGCGGCAGGCUUAACACAUGCAAGUCGAGCGGAGAUGAGGUGCUUGCACCUUAUCUUAGCGGCGGACGGGUGAGUAAUGCUUAGGAAUCUGCCUAUUAGUGGGGGACAACAUUCCGAAAGGAAUGCUAAUACCGCAUACGUCCUACGGGAGAAAGCAGGGGAUCUUCGGACCUUGCGCUAAUAGAUGAGCCUAAGUCGGAUUAGCUAGUUGGUGGGGUAAAGGACUACCAAGGCGACGAUCUGUAGCGGGUCUGAGAGGAUGAUCCGACACACUGGAACUGAGACACGGCCCAGACUCCUACGGGAGGCAGCAGUGGGGAAUAUUGGACAAUGGGGGGAACCCUGAUCCAGCCAUGCGGCGUGUGUGAAGAAGGCCUUAUGGUUGUAAAGCACUUUAAGCGAGGAGGAGGCUACUGAGACUAAUACUCUUGGAUAGUGGACGUUACUCGCAGAAUAAGCACCGGCUAACUCUGUGCCAGCCGCCGCCGUAA